rnacentral:lncRNA from 1 species
CAUCAUCAACCAAGUUCAUCGUGGUGGAAACAUUAGUGGUAAAGAUUUGAACAGAGCUUCCACCUGCAGCGCUACCACCACCCAUCAUCGGCAUGAGUAGCGGCCCAAACGAAAGAGUAUGAACAGCAAGUAGUAUAUGAAAAAGAAGAAGAAGAGAUGAAGACGAAGAAGAGAUGAACGGUAUGAAAAUUUGGGAAUUUAGGGUUACAUAUAAUACUAGGGACCAACAUGGGUACAAAUUAGAAAUUAGCCAGCUCAGCUAGCCAUUGGACCCCUCCAGUGUGGCAAUCCGAGGCCACGUCAGCGCUCCGAUGAUGAGUCAUCACCUGAAAUAUGACCAGGGACCAGUUUGAGUGCUCGGAGCUCUAUCUGGAGGAAUACAAUGGAAAAAUCAGGAUCUUAGGGAUUAUUAUAGGUAUUUGCGUGAAUCUCAGGGACAACUAUAAGUAUUUACUCGUUAUCCUGCAUAAAGAAACCACACCCACGGUGAAGGACAACUCAUAUUCUCUAUUUUAUUUUCACUUGUAUUUCAGUAACAGUUAUAAAAAAAAAUCAUGUUUAACCUCUUCUUUAAUUCUUUAUUCUAUUAGUUUACCUUUUAAUUUGUUUUUUUUUUCAAUUUUUUAUUCUAUUUCUAAUUCAGGAUACACUUUUCUGUAUGAAACAAUUAUUAUUAGAAUAAAAAAAUAGUUAUUAUAACAGAAAUAAAAAGAUAGUAAAUAAAGUAAAAAAAAAUAGUUAUUAUGAUAGAAGUUAAAGUUGUCUAUCAUAUAAUGGGACUAUUUCAAUUCAAUCAUGUCGAAAAGAAUAAAAGAAAAUCCGAAUAUAAAUGUAUUAGAUAUUAAAUAAAAUAAAAUUACAUAAAUUUUUAUUUUUUACCGUAUAAAUAUUGUCCGAGCUAAAAAAUGAAGAAAUAAAAUUAAUAUUUUUUCUAAGAAUAAUUAUUUUUACAAUUAUAAAUACACAAUAAAAAAUUAGUGUACAUUAAAAUAGUACCAUAAUAAAAGAUAAAAUUAACAAACUAAUGGAAUAUAUAUACACAACUAACUAAUGUUAUCAUCAUUCAGUAUAUUAUUUAUGUAACCCCCUAACUAUCAAAAUGUCACGUUUCCAAUUGCGCCACUCUUGAUAGAUCGGGUGGUACGACGACUUUUAAAACAUUUAAUACUAAAAUAUGAGUCUGUUUAAAAUUUAAAACCGAAUAUUCAAAACUUCUAUCCAUACGUUACAGUACUGAUUACAAUACUUACAAAUAAUACAUAAAUAUAUAUACAUCAUACCAAUAUACAAACUUCACAUAUCAAAACAACUAUCCCUCUUGCAAAAAUUGCUAGAAAUAAAGGCGAGGAAAAAAUAAAAACUAAGAUAAUACAAAAUAACAUCGAAUAAACAGAAAAUGAAUAUAAUUCUUUUGAAGCUCUGUCGCCCAUAUCCUGAAAAGGGAAAAAUCUGUAGGAAAGUGAGAACAUCGUCCUCGAAAGGGUUCUCAUUAUAGGGUUACAGAAUUGCUAUAAUAAGAUACGAGAAUAAAACCGGUUUUAAAGUACAGUGAUUAAUAACCGCCUUAUGCUUCUUUUCACAACCAAAGAUUUAAUAUUCAAAAUCCGAAAUCCUUUCUAAAAGGGAAAGCUGUUAAUUUCUCAGAAAUCUAAAAGCUUUUUUAAAAGUUUUUCCUAGACAGCAUGAAUGACCAAACUGUUCCAAGCAUAGGUUCAUUAAGUCUAUGCUGAACCAGUUUAGUUUUUCAUACUUUUCUAAACCUAAAGCACAAACCAAACACAGCUUUCAGUCCAUCUCAUAAUCAACCACGGCCCUAGGCCCAAGCAACUCAAUCAACAACCAAUUCAUCACAAUCCAACCAAUUUUCAGUCACAAACACAAUUAAGAAGGUUCAAACACAAUCAAGCAGUUAUAUCAAGUAGAACAAUUAGCAAUUAAACAUAACUAUUCACAUAGGCAAACCAAUUACAAUAUGCACACCCGAUGCAUGCCUGUCCUACUGGCCAUGAACUCACGCGUCGGUUAUGUUGCCAGACCCGACUCGGAUAAGCGGGAUUAAACCACCAUCCUUAUCCGUAGGUUCCACAAGCAAGUGGGACUAAACCAUCAUCCUUGCCCGGAACACGCAAGGGGGAUUAAAUCACCGUCCUUGCCAAAUAAUUUAUCAAUGUAUGAGCGGGACAAAACCACCAUCCUCACUGCAGGCGGGACAAAACCACCAUCCCUGUAUAACGGUUUACGCACUAAGCAAGCAGGACUAUACCACCAUCCUUGCCAGGCCAGAAACCCUCAUCAUAUUCUCAGUAACACCCACAGUCAAUCAGACUCAAAAUCUUAUUUCAAAAUUCAUUCUUGGCCCACUUUCAAAUCACAAACGUAUUCAGUUCACAUCUUGCCAAGAACCACUUUUCUUAAGUAAAUUUUCUUUUCAAAACUUUCAAACAACUUCAUAACCAAGCCAAAUUCAAAAUCUCUUCUAAAAGACUCAAAUCACUCAUUUUCAAAUCAUUCGCUCCACCACUUUGAAAUCAAAAGUUAUUAAUUAACAACCUUGGCAAAGACUCAAGAUUUUAGAGAAGAAUAACCUGCCUCAUUUCUUAAAUUCCUUAGAAAUCCUCGGAAUCAUAGUUACUUAAGUUGAAAUCAAUUAAAAUGAAGCUUUAAAAUCAAAAUCAAAGCAUGUAAGUCAAAAGUUCCGAACCAGUUUCAAAACCAAAAUUAUUUAAGCCCAAAGACCAAUUUCUUUUCGUUCUUAAAUCGGAAACUUUCCCAAAGGCUCGGAUUUGUUUAGUUAAAAUUUAAAGAAUACUUCAAAAGCAAUGCGAAAUUAAGUAAUCAAAGUUCAAUUUCCUUCAAAAUCCGCUAAAACUCCUCCAAAGGUACUUCUUUGUCCAAACUUUAAAACAUAAGUCCCUCAUGUUUAAAUCAAACUUAAAACAUAAACUUUCCUUAAAAGAUUAAACUUGAAUCACCUAUUUCUUAAUAAAUCAAGAACCAAACAAUAGAACCUCUUGAAUCCAAUCCUUUUCUAAAUCGUAUUUUAAAAAAAAUCUGGAAUUUCAUAAAAAAAUUGGCAGCAUCUCUCCUAAAACUUGGACUUUGCCACCCGUUUCGGGUCCCAACCAAACCAUUACGCAACCCCCUCCACGGGUUCAAAACCAAAUUAAUUUAAAAUCAGACUAAUUUCGAAAAUUCAUAUCCUUUUCAUAAUUCAAGAAAUCAGAUCCAAACUCAAUUCAUUUUCAAUGAACCAAACUCGUUUCCGAAAUUGUAAGGAAAUAUUUCAGCAACCAACCAUAUAACCAAAUCAAACCACAAUCCAAUCAAACCACAAACACGUUCAUUCCAAAAUAGCUCAGCAAAACAUAAGGCUUAUACAACCACUAAAAGUACAUUUAUCACAUUAAUAUCCAUUUAUAACAACUCCAAAUCAUAAAAUUAAGUUCUUUGAAAAAGCCCCUACCUCACUAAACGUAGCUUCUCCGUUAGUAGUUUCCAGCACCUGUUUCCAUGGCAGCAACAGUGACGAGGUUAAACGGCCUCCUCUCCUUUCCGAUUUGGGAUUCCAGUAGCAGCAGCAAUCUCCAAACAGAGCCAGCAAUUACCUCCGGUAACGGCAUCGGCAACGUAACUUACUAUAACCACUUUAUUCAAUACGAAUAGUUUCAGCAACAAGUUUCAAGAUAGAAACGAAUUGGUAGAACAAGGAAGAAUCAGAAACAAGGUAAGGCUUACCAAAACAGUAGCGGUUCUAACGGUUCAAAACGGAGCCAGAGCAACAGCAACAGCAACUCCAGCAGCGGCAGUGGAGUUCUUGUCAGAUUUUAGAAACCAGAAGCAGAACUGGCUAGCCUCUCUUCCUCACCAGCAACGGCGGCUCCGACUAAACCAGCGACGGGGGCUCCGACCACACCAGCGACGAUGGUGGCGGCGACGCAUGAAACUCCUCCAGCAGCGGCAACGUGGGGAUUGACGACGACAAACCUUAGUAGCAGCGGCGGCAGAAGUGGCUUCGACAGCAGCACCAAGGCGCGGCAACGGCGCGGUGGCGACGCAGUAGAGGCUCCCUCCUCCACUGACUCUCGGGCGGCUCUUACUUCUUCCCUGAGCGGCGUCGACGAACAGAGGUGGCGGCUCCUUGGACGACAGCUGCGGCGCGACCCUCUCCCUAUCUUGUCUGUGCGACAUGACGGCACGGCGGCAGUGACGCCCGCUGGCGCCGCCCUCACUCUCCCCUCCCCUUCCUCCGCGGAUCCCUCUCUUCUCUUCCCUUUCUAUUUCGGCUGAAGCUGCAUGUGUUGGUGUGUGUAUGUGUUGUUUCUUUUUCUUUGUUUACUGGUGGGGGGAAAGGCGGCUUAGGGUUUCAUUAGGGAUAGGGGGAAAAUGUGGUUUAAUUAGGGUUAGGGUUUGUGUAUGGA